CUUAAUCAAUAAGGCUCAUAACUACUAACAUUAAUUAUGUUAAAGAAAUAUCUCUCCUUACAAUAAUCUUUUUUCUGCAACUCUUGUUUACCUUAGACAGCAAAAGAGAUACUCUAACUCUUAUAACUACAAAAGAGAUCUGAAAGAGAUACUCUUAUACCCAGAAAGUCACAGCUCAGAAACUCCGCCGAUUCAACUCUCCCUUCGCCUCCGCCGUCGUUAUGCUCACCAAUUCCAGCGGCUCCGUUCUCCUCAUUGGUACCAUUUCAACGCUUCCAGAUCUCGAAAUAAGGAGAUGAAGUUCCCAAAUUCCCAAAUUCGAUGGAUAAGAUGAUGGUAGAGCCUCUGCGAAGGUGGUGUAUGGAGAGGUGCAAAAGAGAGAACGGUGCAGCCUCAUCGAAGGUGGAGAGAUUGAACAAAAUUCUCAGUCUGAAUCUGGUGGCGCGUGAAAAAGGGAAAACAGUGGAUCUCGAGAAAAUAAUUUGAUUUUUAGUUUAUUUGUUUUAUAAUUUGUAAUUCAUAAUUUAUAUGAUUUGUACAAUAAUUUUUCAGAUUAAUCAUUAAUGAUUAUUUUAUUUUAUUU